GGGUUGUGAGGUUAAGCGACUAAGCGUACACGGUGGAUGCCCUGGCAGUCAGAGGCGAUGAAGGACGUGCUAAUCUGCGAAAAGCGUCGGUAAGGUGAUAUGAACCGUUACAGCCGGCGAUGUCCGAAUGGGGAAACCCAGUGCAAUUCGUUGCACUAUCGUUAACUGAAUACAUAGGUUAACGAGGCGAACCGGGGGAACUGAAACAUCUAAGUACCCCGAGGAAAAGAAAUC
rnacentral:rRNA from 1 species